rnacentral:piRNA from 6 species
UUACAACAAGCGCUCGACCAUCACGU